GGAGAGAUGGCUGAGUGGACUAAAGCG
rnacentral:tRNA from 1 species